AAACAGUGAAAUUUUGAGGAUGGUUUUGCAUCCUUGCCUAUCCUAGGUAAUAGCAAUUGAUGGACCUAUCCUCCGUGAACUUAUAUAGUUCUUUUUUUA